GAUGAACGCUGGCGGCGUGCCUAAUACAUGCAAGUCGAGCGAACGGACGAGAAGCUUGCUUCUCUGAUGUUAGCGGCGGACGGGUGAGUAACACGUGGAUAACCUACCUAUAAGACUGGGAUAACUUCGGGAAACCGGAGCUAAUACUGGAUAAUAUUUUGAACCGCAUGGUUCAAAAGUGAAAGACGGUCUUGCUGUCACUUAUAGAUGGAUCCGCGCUGCAUUAGCUAGUUGGUAAGGUAACGGCUUACCAAGGCAACGAUGCAUAGCCGACCUGAGAGGGUGAUCGGCCACACUGGAACUGAGACACGGUCCAGACUCCUACGGGAGGCAGCAGUAGGGAAUCUUCCGCAAUGGGCGAAAGCCUGACGGAGCAACGCCGCGUGAGUGAUGAAGGUCUUCGGAUCGUAAAACUCUGUUAUUAGGGAAGAACAUAUGUGUAAGUAACUGCGCACAUCUUGACGGUACCUAAUCAGAAAGCCACGGCUAACUACGUG
rnacentral:rRNA from 1 species